GCCGCCGCCGCCCAGGGCGGAGCGGGGCGCGAGGUGCGGGGAGACGGCUGCAGGGGCUCCCGCCGGCCCGGCAGCAGCGCCGCGGCCGCGCGAGGCGUUUGGUGUCGGCUGCGGGCCGUCCCGCCAGGGCCCUCUGACGUGCUGCGUGUGCACAGGUGGCUGCGCGGUGCCCGUCAGUGCGCCGCCCGUGGCGGGGUCUGUGUUCGGGGACGGGUGUGUUUGUGGCUGCAGUUGCCGCAGUUCGUCCCGGCCCUCCAGACCUCCCCAGCCCCACUCUCGGCCUCGUGGUCCUGGCACGACCGCUGCUUCUGCCCCGGAUGCUUCCUCUGGGCUCCGCCCCCAGCACGUCCACGUCACGCCUGCUGCCUUAGUCCUGCAGAAAUCCUGCGCUUUGGAUUUGUGUCACCUUCUGUAAGUUGAAAGCUUCUGGACCAAGUGCGGCAGUGAGAUGGAGUCAGAAGAGGAGGUAUUGCCAUCAGAGAGUCAGCAAAGGUGGCUGACCAAGCCCAAAGGAGGGUGCUGAGGGGAGUUGAUGACCUGGACUUUUUCAUAGGGGAUGAAGCCAUAGAUAAACCCACGUAUGCCACAAAGUGGCCAAUAAGACAUGGAAUAAUUGAAGACUGAGAUCUAAUGGAGAGGUUCAUGGAACAAGUUAUUUUUAAUUUUCCCUGAGCUGAACCUGAGGGCCAUCACUUUUUGAUGAGUUUUAGAAUUAAGACUCUCUUCCUCAGAAACCUUCCUAGCAGAUUUGCCCUGUCUGUCCGCGCCCAGUGUGGGCCCUAUAGGGGAACAAAAUUACUUUGGUACAUUUUGAUGAGUCAAGAUUCUCUCCUGUUGCUGGUGAGGGGACCACAUCUCAUCACCUGGCCCCAAGAGACAGAACCUCCUCUGAAUACACCAGAAAAUAGAGAAUAUCUUGCAGAAAUUAUGUUCAAAUUAUUUAAUGUACCAGGACUCUACAUUGCAGUUCAGGAGAAGUACUGUCACAUUUGCCCCAAUAUAGUCAAGAAGUUUGCCAAGUAUGACGUGGAUCAGCGGAAGUGGAUCAAACAGCAAACAGGGAACAAUGCCAUAAGCCAGAAGAAAUUCAUUAUCGAUGUUGGCUAGGAAAGUUUCCCAGGCCCUGAAAUUUUCUUUCACCCAGAGAAACACCAGUGGAAACAAAUCUAAAGAUGUCAUGCACUAGGGCCUGCUGUAAUGAUCCUUCAGUCCCCCAGCUGGGUCCUCAGUGAAGUACCAGAUACUGAUUAACAUGCCAAGUAUAAUGCCUGGCCCAGGAAGCUCAGGAGAUGAAUCGAAUAACUUGACCAUGAAGGAGCACUGAGGAGGAGGCAGAGAUGAUCUAUGGCAUGGGUAUUAUAAUAGGCGUACUACAAGGCUCAGAGGCAGUGCAGAGGAAGAAAUGAGGAGCUCUUGGAAGUGGUGGGCAGAGGGCAAGUGUUUGGAAUGUUCUUUAAGAAUAGGUACACUUGAACUGACUCUUAAAAGAUGGGCAGGUGUUUGACAAGGCAAUGUGAACACCACAGAUAGAGGGGAGUGAAGCCACCUGGAAUCCUUCCUCUCUGCACUGCAAACAGUUUGGGAUGGUUGGUGCAUAUGGCACGUGACUGUGCACAUUCUGUCCAUGUUGUGUGCACUGAUGAUUUAGAAAUGACAGAAGGGCAAGUGGUGAAGCUGGAGAGUUGCAGAAGCACACAGAGGAAGACUGCCUUACAUGGUUCUUCAAGGUAUUUGGACAUGAUCCUGUGGCAAAGCAAGUCAUUACAUGAUUAUUAAACUAAGCAGUAUUGGUGUGGAA